rnacentral:lncRNA from 1 species
AGAAUUUAUUGCAAGCAAGAAAUAGAUACGUAUAGAAAUUCUUUUCUUGUCUACAAUGAAGAAGAGAGUUUCUUUCGAUCUGUUUGAUGGUGAAGAUCUUGAUCUUCCUCUCGCUAAAGUGUUUCCGAUGAAGAAGAAGAAGAAGAAGAAGAUCGUUUCACUUAGCCUCUUUGAAUAUCUUCUUCUUCUUGAUCAACAACCACCAUUUAUGCCACAACCUCUCGCUAUGGUUCCUUGUUCAAGCAAAAGAAUGCCCUAGAAAAAAGAGAGUUGAAGAGCAAUAUCAUACAAGAUGAGCUAGAGCCUCUUCCUGAACCGCUUCUUCCUAAAAUAUAUCAAGAAAUAUGGUUGAAUGGAGGGACCGUGCCAAUCUUUUUAUACCAAAAAUGGCUCAUAGAUUCUAAUACCAAGUAUGAUUAGAACCGAAUUUUUCUCUCUCACAACAGAGAAAAACUAAUGGAACUCUUAACACCAGCGGAGCGACAAUUAGUAGAAGUUAACCAAGGCAAUGUCAAGAUUGUAACAAUUGAUCCGGAAGGUAAAUACUAUUCGUUGCAUAUGAGGUGGGGUAAUUUAAAAAUGGUUGUGCUUAAAAAUGAUUGGAGUAAAUUGGUGAAAGCAAAUAAUUUGGAAAAAGGUGACUGGAUUCAACUGUGGGGAUAUCGCCAAAAUUCCCAAUUUCAUUUGGCUUUCAACAUCAAGAAAGCAACAAAAAAGGUCACACAUGGUGAUGAUGAAGCAAUAGCAACCUUGAUGGCAGUGGCUGUAGUAGUAGUGGUGGUGCAAGAGCCAGUAGCAGCGGUUUUUGCUCAAGUAUCGUCCCCGAGGAAUAGAAGAUAAUAUGCAAGAGAGAGAGAGACUAGAAAUUUUACUAUUUUGGGCAUGAUCUAGUACUGAUUAUAGCAGGAAAUUUUUGAACUAGAUGGGUUUAGACUUGUUUUGAGUAUUGAGUCCUGUAUUCAAAUAUUGUUUCAGAGUUAUCAAGUUUUAGUUUAUGAAAUAAUUACUGUUGUGGAUAUUUUCACUGUUGUUCGUUGUAGAAUAACUUCGAGUUGUUAAAUUGACCAUAAUUAAUAAGGAUAAACUGGAAGGU